rnacentral:rRNA from 1 species
AUUGAACGCUGGCGGCAGGCCUAACACAUGCAAGUCGAGCGGAUGAAGGGAGCUUGCUCCUGGAUUCAGCGGCGGACGGGUGAGUAAUGCCUAGGAAUCUGCCUGGUAGUGGGGGAUAACGUCCGGAAACGGGCGCUAAUACCGCAUACGUCCUGCGGGAGAAAGUGGGGGAUCUUCGGACCUCACGCUAUCAGAUGAGCCUAGGUCGGAUUAGCUAGUUGGUGGGUUAAAGGCCUACCAAGGCGACGAUCCGUAACUGGUCUGAGAGGAUGAUCAGUCACACUGGAACUGAGACACGGUCCAGACUCCUACGGGAGGCAGCAGUGGGGAAUAUUGGACAAUGGGCGAAAGCCUGAUCCAGCCAUGCCGCGUGUGUGAAGAAGGUCUUCGGAUUGUAAAGCACUUUAAGUUGGGAGGAAGGGCAGUAAGUUAAUACCUUGCUGUUUUGACGUUACCAACAGAAUAAGCACCGGCUAACUUCGUG